UAAUCUUUCACAAUUAAAAAUUUUAAAAAUUGUAAAUAUAUAAAAAUAUUUUUACAAAAUUAAUUUAUUCCCAAGCACGGCAGUGCCAAAGGCUGGCAGGCACUCAGAAUGAAAAGGACUACAAAAAUUUCAGCAAGAUGUUUCAAAGAUCUUUCGACCUCAAAUGCGAACAUAAUAUCCUCAUCGGGCCAAGAUUAAGCGAGCAUUCAGUAUGAGUAGGAGGUAUUAUUAAUCCUGUCAUGAAAUGAAUCGGACAAUUUCAUCAUCACCAUGCUCGCUUAAUCGCCUUCAUUGUUAAUUGUUAAAUAAUAAAAAAUAUGGAGAGAAAAGUGAAGAUGAAACCAUCAGAACAUCGGAUCAUUUUAUCAUCGGCGACACUUGACGUGUCUCAGACGACCGUCGUGAGAAAUUUUAAUCCAAUUUCAUCACUUGAUUUCACAACCCCACAAAAUCUUCAAAACCAAUACUCAAUCAAUUAAAAUAAUUAAAAAAAACAAUGGACAGAUGAUCUGCGAUUGUAAGUGAAAACCUUCCAUGACAAUACCUACGCCAUCGAUCAAUAACCGAAA
rnacentral:misc_RNA from 1 species